UCAAAUCUUCCUCUUUAGGGACAACUUGGAAUCUUCCCAACUGAAUUAGUACCCGAUGGGGAGCAUUUGGUUGGAUGUUACUGAUACCCACUAGCAAAAUAUAACACUCUCCCGCUGCCAUGUGUCCCAUCUCGGUAAUAGGUAACCCCCCGAAUGGCCACUCACUUUGAUUCAUCGUCAGUGACCUCAGUCGUACAACCAAUCUCAGUACCCUCGGGGAAUGAAACACCCGUUACCCGCUUUUGAAAUUCUUCAAUGCAGCUUAAACCCAUCAAACUGUAGUUCAUAUACCCCACUCGGUGGCAGAGAUGUUCUUAC
rnacentral:lncRNA from 1 species